CUUCUCUUUGCAUUUUCACUCACAAAACUUUUUGUUUGUCUGUGCAAGAGCUUAUAAAGAAGCGGUUGAAGGAGCACGGAAUCUUCGUUCAAUCUAGACUUAAUUAAGACAUUUAGCACUCGAAGGAGAUUUAUGGCUGGACCAUUUGAGUUACACAUUCUAUUCCUGAUUGUAGUGGUUUAUUCCUCCGCUUCGCUGAUGGUAAUAUUCUUCACACUGGAGAUUGGAAGAUUGAUGAGGCACCAUUGGAUGGGAAAGUCUUUGAUCGUGAAGCUUUACUCUCAAAAGGAGUCACGUUGGUGAAAGUCGAAGACAUUGAAGCAUGUGCUCCUAAGGACUUGCUGAUUGUCACGACUGGAUCACAAGCAGAACCACGCGC